rnacentral:lncRNA from 1 species
AUGGCCCAGGUUUUACAAGGAACACACAUCUUUGUGAAUGUCUCUUAUCUUUCAGCCCAGUGUUCAGGACCUCCAGUGCUCUGCUGUGCUGGAUUGAAUAGUACAUGCUACCGAGGGUGUUUUUGUGAUGAGUACUGCAUCAUAUCCAAGGACUGCUGUCACGACUACAAUCAGACAUGCAACCAGACAGCAACAUCAACUACUCCUUCCGCACAAACCAUAUUGAAUUCAACAACACCACCAUCAACAACAGCACCAUUAUUUCAGUCAAGCUCACCAUCAUCAACUUUAUCAUCAUCCUCCUCACCAUCACCAGACUCUCAAUCAUCCUUACCUUCAGCAUCAUCAACCUCCCAAUCAUAUGCAUCAUCCUCAUCGUCAUCACCAACCUCCCAAUCAUAUGAAUUAUCUUCAUCUGUAGAUAAGAGAAUGACAUCAGGUCUGCGUGUGUAUGUGCGCUCCAGGGCAAAUAUGGAGGCAACACUAAAGGCUUUGCAAAGUUUUCUCCGUAACAUGGAGGCCGUCAUGAGGCGAAAUAAGGAUGAAGACUGCAAGAUACGAGUGCUAAAAAACCCCCAGCCAUGAAAACAUCAACAUCACUGACUCUCAUCUCCACAUCACAUAAUAGCUGCUCUAGAAGACCUUUCAGAAUAUUCACUGCAAUUGGAAAUGUGUUGCCAGUAGGGGGCGCCAGAAGUUUAAAAUAUGAGUAUGGAACAGAUUUAAAGGCAGAGUUUACCAAAAAAUGCAAAAUCACUCACUAUUUAUUCACACUGAAAUGGAUCCAUACCCUUAUUAGUCUGAACACAAAGGAAUAUUUUGAAGAAAGUUGAAAACCUGUAAACAUUGACUUCCAUAGUAUGAAAAACAAAUACUAUGGAACUCAAUAAUUACAGGCUUUUCAAAAUUCAUCCUGUAAAACCUGUGACAAACAAAUCCUGUGGAAAAAAAAAAAAUAUUAUUGGGUUACAUAGCAUUUAUUUUUCCUACCAUGGAAGUCAUUGGUUACAUCAUUUUGUGUUCAGCAGAAGAAACUCACAAGUUUGAAACGAAUAAAGACCUAGCAAAUGAUGGUGGAAUUUUUGGGUGAAUUCUUUAAUCUACUUUUGCAAGACCU